rnacentral:rRNA from 1 species
UCGAGAAUCAUUCACAAUGGGCGAAAGCCUGAUGGUGCGACGCCGCGUGGGGGAAGAAGGCCUUCGGGUUGUAAACCCCUGUCAUGAGGGAGCAAGCUAGAGAUAGUAGAUAGUACCUCAAGAGGAAGAGACGGCUAACUCUGUGCCAGCAGCCGCGGUAAUACAGAGGUCUCAAGCGUUAUUCGGAAUCACUGGGCGUAAAGAGUACGUAGGCGGCAAGGUAAGUCUGAUGUGAAAUGCUGGGGCUCAACCUCAGGACGGCAUUGGAUACUGCUUUGCUAGAGCAAUGGAGGGGAAACCGGAAUUCUCGGUGUAGCAGUGAAAUGCGUAGAUAUCGAGAGGAACACUCGUGGCGAAGGCGGGUUUCUGGACAUUGGCUGACGCUGAGGUACGAAGGCUAGGGGAGCGAAAG